GGAUCCGGUGGGCCCGGACGUGUAACCCGUUCAAGAACCCGGGCUAAAUCCAACCCACCCCACCCCACCGGCUCCCCGUAACUCACAUGGGUGAAGUGUGCCAACUGGGCUGGAUUCCGGGCCGGUUCGCGGGCAUAUGCUCGCCCCACAACACCAGACAUGAGACGGCCCCCGGCGGGACUGCAAUCCCGGUCGAGGGCCUGACCAAGUAGGAAGUAAACGGCUUCCCC
rnacentral:ncRNA from 1 species